rnacentral:lncRNA from 10 species
AUCAGCGCUUAGUGUGCCCUGCAAUGUAAUGUUAGUCUAUGAUUGUUGAUGGCUCUCUUUAGCACACAGAUGUCUGGACCUCAGCCAUUUCAGUCAAGUUAAGAACAAGUACUGUGGAACUCAUGCAGUCAUUUGGAAGUAAGCAUCUGCUGGACUGAAGGAGCCAAGAUGUUCCCAGUCUACUAGCAAUAACACUCCAAUGGAGGCCUCUGGCAAAAGCGCUCCAGCAAGGUAACGGCAGGUCUGUGCCCACACAUGCACUGAGAGGUGCAUGUUGUAAGGAAAUGGGAGCAGCUUCUAGCCAAUGAUCAGCAGUGAACUGAGGCCCUAAGCUCAACAGCUUGCAACAAAUUGAAUCUUUCCAAACACUACUUGAAUGAGCUUGGAAACAGAUCCUCUCCCAGCAAAACCUUGAAAUGAGACUGUAGCCCUAGCCAACACCUUAAUUGCAGUCUUAUGAACUAAUUGGAUGGAUACUCCUGGCUGUAACUUCAUGCUUUCUUGAAAAAUCUGGUAAUUCACCAAUAUUCAAUGAAAACUAGAUGCAGGCUGGAUGUGGUGGCUCACGCCUGUAAUCCCAGCACUUUGGGAUGCUGAGGCAGGUGGAUCACUUGAGGCCAGGAUUUCGAGAUUAGCCUGGCCAACAUGGUGAAACCCUGUCUCUAUUUAAAAAAAAAUUAGAAAAAGAAAACUUGAUGCAGAAUCAUCGAUUAAGCCAUGCAUUGAUACCUGACCCAAAGUAACUAUAAAAUAAUAAAUGUU